rnacentral:rRNA from 1 species
UAAUACGGGAGGUGCGAGCGUUAAUCGGAAUUACUGGGCGUAAAGCGAGCGUAGGCUGUUAAUUAAGUCGAAUGUGAAAUCCCCGGGCUCAACCUGGGAACUGCAUUCGAAACUAGUUAACUAGAGUAUGGGAGAGGAAAGUAGAAUUUCCGGUGUAGCGGUGAAAUGCGUAGAUAUCGGAAGGAAUACCAGUGGCGAAGGCGGCUUUCUGGAACAAUACUGACGCUGAGGUUCGAAAGCGUGGGGAGCGAACAGGAUUAGAUACCCUGGUAGUCCACGCCGUAAACGAUGAGAACUAGAUGUUGGGAGGAUUGGCCUCUCAGUGUCGCAGCUAACGCAACAAGUUCUCCGCCUGGGGAGUACGACCGCAAGGUUG